UACGUAGGUGGCAAGCGUUGUCCGGAUUUACUGGGCGUAAAGAGCGCGCAGGCGGUCGUUUAAGUCGAAUGUGAAAGCCCCCGGCUCAACUGGGGAGGGUCAUUCGAUACUGAUCGACUUGAAGGCAGGAGAGAGAAGUGGAAUUCCCGGUGUAGUGGUGAAAUGCGUAGAUAUCGGGAGGAACACCUGUGGCGAAAGCGGCUCACUGGACCACAACUGACGCUGAUGCGCGAAAGCUAGGGGAGCAAACAGG
rnacentral:rRNA from 1 species